GUUGUAGAUGAGCAUGAGAGUGUGGAGCAGAGUCGGCGAGCGCAAGCUGAGCCCAUCAACCUGGACAGCUGUCUCCGUUCUUUCACCAGUGACGAAGAGCUAGGGGAAAAUGAGAUGUACUACUGUUCCAAGUGUAAGACCCACUGCUUAGCAACAAAGAAGCUGGAUCUCUGGAGUCUUCCACCCUUUCUGAUUAUUCACCUUAAGCGAUUUCAAUUUGUAAAUGAUCAGUGGAUAAAAUCACAGAAAAUUGUCAAAUUUCCUCGGGAAAGUUUUGAUCCGAGUGCUUUUUUGGUACCACGAGACCCAGGUCUCUGCCAGCAUAAACCACUCACACCCCAGGGGGAUGAGCUCUCCAAGCCCAGGAUUCUGGCAAGAGAGGUGAAGAAAGUGGAUGCGCAGAGUUCGGCUGGGGAAGAGGACAUGCUCCUGAGCAAAAGCCCAUCCUCACUCAGCGCUAACAUCAGCAGCAGCCCAAAAGAUUCUCCUUCUUCAUCAAGAAAAAGUGGAACCAGCUGUCCCUCCAGCAAAAACAGCAGCCCUAAUAGCAGCCCACAGACUUUGGGGAGGAGCAAAGGGAGGCUCCGGCUGCCCCAGAUUGGCAGCAAAAAUAAACUGUCAAGUAGUAAGAAGAACUUGGAUGCCAGCCAAGAGAAUGGGGCUGGGCAGAUCUGUGAGCUGGCUGAUGCCUUGAGCCAAGGGCAUAUGCAGGGGGACAGCCAACCAGAGCUGGUCACUCCUCAGGACCACGAGGUAGCUUUGGCCAAUGGAUUCCUUUAUGAGCAUGAAGCAUGUGGCAAUGGCUGUGGCAAUGGCUACAGCAAUGGUCAGCUUGGUAACCACAGUGAAGAAGACAGCACUGAUGACCAAAGAGAAGACACUCAUAUUAAGCCUAUUUAUAAUCUAUAUGCAAUUUCAUGCCAUUCAGGAAUUCUGAGUGGGGGCCAUUACGUCACUUAUGCCAAAAAUCCAAACUGCAAGUGGUACUGCUACAAUGACAGCAUCUGUGAGGAAUGUCACCCUGAUGAAAUUGACACCGACUCUGCCUACAUUCUUUUCUAUGAGCAGCAGGGGAUAGACUAUGCACAAUUUCUGCCAAAGAUUGAUGGCAAAAAGAUGGCAGACACAAGCAGUAUGGAUGAAGACUUUGAGUCUGAUUACAAAAAGUACUGUAUGUUACAGUAAAGCUACCACUCUGGCUGCUAGACAGCUUGGUGGUGAGGGAGAUGACUCCUUGCCAAGCUGAUACUUGGCAAAAGCGUCACUGAAAGGCAAGCUAAAUGUAGUUAUUUUAUCCUGUUAGAAUACAAAUUCUAAUUAAAAUAGUUAACUUUAAGAGUAGCAAUAAUUUUAUUUUAAAGUCUCAUACAAGUUGUCCGAUAGAGAACUUUCAGGCAGAUCCCACCAUCAGCCUGCAAACAAAAGGUUUGGCACCAGCCACCUGGGACCAAAUAAGAAUUCAAUUGUGCUUGUCCAGAUAUGAACAAAUAUGUAGUGAGUAUAGAGUUUACCAAUAAUCAUAACAAAUAUUAAAGAUUUCCUUGGAGUCAAAGUAAAAAACAAAAAAUUGUAAUGUUGUCUAGGGAUGACAUGAUAUGCUACCUCCUUCUUCCCGAAGUUUAUUCCAUUAUAUUGACAAGAUGGAGAAAGCCAGAUCAUGAAGGUGUGCAAAUGAUUCUUACGGCAUGGGCGAGGAUUUUUCAAUUUAUUUUUUAAAGUUUCCAUACCCUUUCUUUGUCUUUCUUGCUUUUUGUCUUUGCCGUUGUGUUUAUGUUUGAGACACAACCAGUCAUUGGUGGCAGGGGCAUAGAGUGGUCAGUCUGAAAGGGAGGCUCUCUUAAGAGCUAUGUGCCUUCCACCCAGAGGGAGACCCAGUAGAAAGAAAAACAUCCUGGGAAAUCCAGCUACCAUGGCCCUCCCAGUGGAGGCAUCUUACAUUUAGGAUACUUCAAGUAUCCUCAGAAAUGUAUUCUGCACCCCCGGCCCUGCCCAUGCUGAGGGAAGGGGAGCAGUUGCCAAUAUUUGCACCAUCUUCACGUGCACAUGUUGCAACAAGAGCUUCUGGGAAGGUAAGCGGCAUCGGAGCUAGAUCAUGUUUCACAAUUAGUGGUUGUUCUUUUCCGUGUUUAUUUUGCACUUUGAAAAAGAGAACACAUGCAAAUGAACUUGCUUGUGUGUAUUUGAUGGCUCUAAGAGCUAUAAAUUACCAACAAAACACAUCCCAGUCAUUAGGAGUUCAUAAGUAUAUUUAAUGAAAUUGGUGGUUUUAGGAAGUCAACUUUAGUUUUGCUUUGUUUAGUUUUGCAUGUUCACUAAUUUUUUUAUUUUGAUAUUUGCCUUUUUUAAUUUUACAGUAGUCAUUGAAAGUUAUGUCUCUUUGUUUAUUUCAUUUUUUCCUCUAAUUAUUCAAGACUGGAACAAAAGUAUAAAUAUUAUUUAUUUCAGGUAGAAUUUUUUUGUGUAGUUUUUUAAUAUAUACUUGAAGGAAAUGUUUCACCUUAUUUUUGGUCUUUGUUUAUUCAUUUAGACCCUGCAAGUUGAUUCUCAUUAAUUGUCAGAUUCCACUACCCUUUCUUCCUCAUAGGUAGUAAUUACCAGUGUAACUAAGCAUUUGUGUUCUGAUAUCUGAGGCCAGUAACUAUGAAUAUCUAGUUCUCAGAGCAUUUGGAAAGGUUAUCUUAAAUGGCUACCUAAAUUGAAAUCCUUUUCAGAAAAAAUAUAAUUGCAAGUAGGUAGGAGUGGCCUAAAUUGUCAAUGUAAUAAAGUCGGACAAAAUGCAUACUUUAUAGUUUCAAGAUUUUCAGUAUAUAAAAUCUGUCCUUUUAUACCUGGACAUGUCCCAUUAAAAAGUGGAAGAUUUUAAAUAGUUUCUUUACAGAUGUUUUACUUAAGCAGGUAGCACAAUCUACUAAUGUUGUUUGAUCUAUGUUUGUUAUACUGGUUGUAAUUAAUUUUUUUAAUUCAUGAACUAGCGGAACAUUUAUUAAAUUAACUAUUAACUACAUUCACCUUGUAAAUUACUGUAUAAAACUUGUUAAUGCACUGACUUUAGAAAGAUGUUAAUGUACAUAAAUAGAGUGUGAAUAAAAUAGUGUUGAUGUACUGAAAUAUGAACUGUAUAAAAAGCAUUGGUAAUUGUAUAUGGGGUGUACCUGUUUAUCUGUAACUAUUAUCCAAACAAAUUAAAUACUGUGGAUGCCUCUAUGUGCUGUUUUUCCUCAUACAAGUAAACACAGAAAGUCAAA
rnacentral:sRNA from 1 species